AUCCAGCUGACGAGUCCCAAAUGGGACGAAACGUGCGUCCUUGAU
rnacentral:hammerhead_ribozyme from 1 species